rnacentral:rRNA from 1 species
CAUCAUGCCGCGUGAGUGAAAAGCCUUCGGGUUGUAAAGCUCUUUUGUCAGGAAGAAACACCGGCUCUAACACAGUCCGGGAAUGACGGUACCUGAAGAAUAGCACCGGCUAACUACGUGCCANGCAGCCGCGGUAAUACGUAGGGUGCGAGCGUUAAUCGGAAUUACUGGGCGUAAAGCGUGCGCAGGCGGUUAUACAAGACAGGCGUGAAAUCCCCGGGCUUAACCUGGNGAAUGGCGCCUGUGACUGUAUAGCUAGAGUGUGUCAGAGGGGGGUAGAAUUCCACGUGUAGCAGUGAAAUGCGUAGCAUAUGUGGAGGAAUACCAAUGGCGAAGGCAGCCCCCUGGGAUAACACUGACGCUCAUGCACGAAAGCGUGGGGAGCAAACAGGAUUAGAUACCCUGGUAGUCCACGCCCUAAACGAUGCUGACUAGUUGUUCGGGAUUUACAUCCUGAGUAACGUAGCUAACGCGUGAAGUCAGCCGCCUGG